rnacentral:rRNA from 1 species
GCAAGGUGCAUGGCAGACGGGUGAGUAACGCGUGGGGAAUCUACCUCUUAGUGGGGAAUAACGCUCCGAAAGGAGUGGUAAUACCGCAUGAGACCUUUGGCUGGAAUGCUGGAGGUGAAACCUGGGGACCGAAAGGCCUGGGGCUAGGAGAGGAUCCUGCGUCUGAUUAGCUAGUUGGCGGGGUAAUGGCCCACCAAGGCGACGAUCAGUAGCCGGCCUGAGAGGGUGAUCGGCCACACUGGAACUGAGACACGGUCCAGACUCCUACGGGAGGCAGCAGUGGGGAAUUUUGCGCAAUGGGCGAAAGCCUGACGCAGCAACGCCGCGUGGGUGAUGAAGGUCUUCGGACUGUAAAACCCUGUCGUCAGGGACGAAGGUGGCAAGGUUAAUAACCUUGUUGCUUGACGGUACCUGGAGAGGAAGCCCCGGCUAACUCUGUGCCAGCAGCCGCGGUAAUACAGAGGGGGCAAGCGUUAUUCGGAAUUAUUGGGCGUAAAGGGCGCGUAGGCGGUUUUUUAAGUCAGAUGUGUAAUCCCCGAGCUCAACUUGG